rnacentral:rRNA from 1 species
UUCGGAAUUACUGGGCGUAAAGGGCUCGUAGGCGGCCAACUAAGUCAGACGUGAAAUCCCUCGGCUUAACCGGGGAACUGCGUCUGAUACUGGAUGGCUUGAGUUUGGGAGAGGGAUGCGGAAUUCCAGGUGUAGCGGUGAAAUGCGUAGAUAUCUGGAGGAACACCGGUGGCGAAGGCGGCAUCCUGGACCAACACUGACGCUGAGUGAGCGAAAGCCAGGGGAGCAAACGGG